CCGGCUGUGCCGGCCGGGGCGCUCGCGGCCGCCUCGCACGCCGCCGUGGCGGGUUCGGCCCGCGCCUGCCGGG
rnacentral:tRNA from 5 species